rnacentral:piRNA from 1 species
CUCCCAAAGUGCUGAGAUUACAGGGUGUGAGC